rnacentral:rRNA from 1 species
UGGGGGAUAUUGCACAAUGGGCGAAAGCCUGAUGCAGCGACGCCGCGUGGGGGAUGAAGGCUUUCGGGUUGUAAACCUCUUUCGCUAUCGAACAAGGCCCGCUUAGGGUGGGUUGAGGGUAGGUGGAGAAGAAGCGCCUGCUAACUACGUGCCAGCAGCCGCGGUAAUACGUAGGGCGCGAGCGUUGUCCGGAAUUAUUGGGCGUAAAGGGCUUGUAGGCGGCUUGUUGCGCCUGCUGUGAAAACGCGGGGCUUAACUUCGCGCGUGCAGUGGGUACGGGCAGGCUUGAGUGUGGUAGGGGUGACUGGAAUUCCAGGUGUAGCGGUGGAAUGCGCAGAUAUCUGGAGGAACACCGAUGGCGAAGGCAGGUCACUGGGCCAUUACUGACGCUGAGGAGCGAAAGCAUGGGUAGCGAACAGG